AUGCGCAGUCCUGGAAACGAGCGUUCGGUGGGGCCUGUGGCCGCAGGACGAGGGGCAAUGGUUUUAAAUGAAAGGAGGUUGGUCUGGAUUCGGUCUAUAGGAAGAAUGUUUUACAACGAAGGUGAUGAAACACCGGAACAGGUUGCUCGGAGAGCUGGUUGAUGCCCCAUCGCUGGAAACAUUCCAGAUUUCUUGGGAAAUCUGCAGCCUGGGAUAUCAGAAUGCAGUCUUAUGACAACAGGGGACUUGAAGGAAAAGUGAACUUCAUGGAUGGGCAAAAAGAGGGAUUGUGUCACACUGGAAGAGCUCCUUGCGAUCUUUAGAGGUCACCUGUGGUAUUUCUGUCCCAGCCCUUGCUAUUUCCCAUUUACUGCAGCAGCAAACUAUUAGUAAUCUGAUGAGGCAACCAGCCACCUGACAAAACAAGGGCUAGUCAGGCUGAAUCGAUUAUUCAUACAUUUCCAUCUGAUUUACAAAUCAAAGUUGCUCUUUUUCCAAUGAAAGAAGCAAAAAUAAUUAAGCAGAGU